rnacentral:lncRNA from 1 species
UGUCCAGAGCAGACGCCCAUCCCAAGGACUUCCAUGGAGUGGGGGGAAGGCUGGGUAGGUUUGAGUUUUAUCGUCAAUAUAAUAAAUUAAUCAGAAGCUUUCACAAAACAAACACCGCGGCUCCGCUGAAGAUAAAAUGGGGCUGGGAAAAACCAAACACCAAGUAGAAACCAGCUGACCAGUGUGAGGUGUUGUAGUCCAGUCUCCCGGGCCCAGCAGUUCAGUGGCCACGUAGAGAUUCAAGGGCCUCUUGUUGGCUGUUCUCCAGGUUUCCAAGAACCGGUCAGUAAAGCUGGUUUUUCAAUUGGUGCAGGACGCCAAUCACAAUCUCCCGCAGGGCUGAGGCUUACAGUGCUCCUCGAUCCAGCUGAAGACACACGCUGACAGCUCCUGGAAGCUGGCCACUGAGAUGGAGGCAUUGAAGGACUGGAACAGGGAAUCCAUGAUGCCUUGAAACACGUUGAACUUGACCUGGUCAGAGACCUGGUCCUCCCCUUCAUGGGGGUUGUCCUGGUGUGCCUUCACAAUCUGCUCAUAG